rnacentral:lncRNA from 1 species
GCGGACACCAGUGAGCUUGAAAGAUUUUUGAAUGACUAAUACCCUCUAUAAUAGUAUUUUGAAUAAAAACCUAAGUAACAGGAGUAGACGUUUAAAAGACGAGGAAUCAUACUAAACGUUUAUCAAUAUCAGAGACAACUGAAAUAACUAUUACAAUGAAAAUAAAAUUACAAUUCAAACUUGAAGUAAUAUUUACAAUGUGCGGUUGAAGUUGGGCAAACUGCAGCUGCAAUAGUGUCAAGGGGAUAAGUAAAGCUACAGUUUUUGACAUUCUCCCCCCAUUUGUUUUGGGGACGUCCUCGGUGCCAUCAAUGCAUGAUAUGCUUCAAUUAAUGGUUUGAAGGCUUCGAGAUCUUUUUCUCUUUCCCAAGUAUUCUCCUCGCUGCUGCAUCCCAUCCAUUUGACCAAGUACUCCUGAUGAUCUUUUCUAGAAGCUCAAGUGAUUCGAUGGUCAAGAAUAACUUCAGCAACCUUCUUUCCAGCUUUCUUCGGUUCAAACACUGGCUUUGGCUCAUUUCUAGAUGCGUCCUCCUUAUCCGCAAAGUAUGGUUUCAACACAUUAACAUGAAGGACCUUGUGAAUUUUACACCAUGAAGGGAGUUUAACUCUAUAUGCAACUCUUCCAAUCCUCUUCACGAUGGGUAAUGGGUCCAAUGUAUUUCGACGACAAUCUUGAGUCCUUCUCUCUUGUUGGUUUGUAAACAUUUCUGUCGGGAAGCUUAACCAUUACCAGAUCUCCAAUAUUGAAUUUAAUGAAAUGACGCUUUAGAUCUGCAACUUUUUUAUACCGUUUUUGAGCUUUCUCAAGAUAAUUUCGAGCAAUUCCAAUAUUUCAUUUCCAUUCUUGAGAAAAGUUCUUUGCUUGAGGGGAUUUGAUACUUCGUUCGAUAUCCACUGUAUGAGGGAGUAGCGAUUGCAGGCUAGUAACAAUCUCAAAAGGACUCUUAUUGGUAGAAAGAGUUCUUUUGGGCAUUGAAGCAAAUUUGGGCCGCAUUCAAAAGUUUUACCCAAAUUUUUUUGCGAAGUAGAGAUAAAGUGCCGAAGAUAUUCUUCUAGCAUAGAAUUGAAGCGCUCCGUCUGUCCGUCAGAUUGUGGGUGAAAACUAGAACUCAUGCUCAAAGUUGAACCAAGAAGUUUGAACAACUCAAUCCAAAAUAUGCCAGUGAAACGAGAAUCUCGAUCACUGACGAUGUCCUUAGGCAGCUCCUAGCAAUGAAAGUUGCAUAUUUUGAUAGACGGUCCACUACGACGAUGAUAGUGCCAAAAUCCUCAACUUUUGGCAACCCAAUAAUGUAGUCCAUCGAUACACUUUCAAAUGGUCGGGUUGGGACGGAAAGGGGCUCCAGCAAGCCCACCUUUUUCUGAUGAUCUGCCUUAUCUUGCUGACAAAUAAGAUAGGUUUUUAUAUAUGUUUCAAUGUCGUCCCGCAUUUGAGGCCAGUAGUAUGCACGUUGCAGUAGUGCACAAGUGCAUUCCUCUUUGGGAUGCCCAAUCCAAAUUGUGUCAUGGCAUUCUGUAAUUAGUUAUUUCCUCAGAUCUCCGCCCUAAUGAACAUAUAGGCGGUCUCCCUUUGUUUUCACUAGUUCCUCAUCGAGCCAGAACUGUCGAGUUUUACCCUACUUGAUGAGGUCGACCAAAUAUUGGGUAGCCGGGUCCUUCUCUAUAAGUGCCCGAAUUUG